CACAAAAUUUCAGCUCAAUAUCUUGAAGCAUUUAAAAACAAAGAAAGAAAAAAAAAAAGCCAGUUAGGAAAACAAUUUUUAGUUUUUUCUAUGUUCAAGGGCCAUAACUCUGUGAAAAAUGGGUUAAUAAUCAUGGCCCUGUAGUGGACUAAUAAAUAUUCUAUUGUUAUUAUACCCUAACUGAUUACAAAAUAAUGACAAAGCUACUUUAAAUAGAACAUGUUAAAACACACCCACACUGAAGUGGCAUAAUUAUUCCACUACAGGCAUCUGCUUAUUCCAAAGUCCACUAAACUGCACUUGUCAUCUUAUGAAACAUUUGGUAAAAUUUAAUGGUCGGCACUUGACAUUUUUAAUGUAAUAAAAUUAUUGUACUAAAAGUCUUAACCACUGUCAAAAAACCCCCAACCCAUUUCUUAGUUCUAGAUAUUUUGAAAUAAUUUGUAAAUUUUUUCAUUCAUUAACAGUAUAAAAAAUAUUUCUUCUCUUGAAUAGAUUUCAACAUACUGGUACCUUAAUAGUCUGAUUAAAAUAAUUGCAGGGAUCAAUUAGGCCAAUCUGUUUAAAAACUGUACACUUGACACUGUGGACCAACCAAAAAGAGGGUAAAUUUAUUUAAAUUAUUUUUUUAAAAAGGCUGUCGGCUUACUGUAAAUGAUUUUCAAAUGAGGGCUGCUUUUAUUUAUUGUUUUGAUUGGAAUAUUCAAAUUGUGUGUUACUUAAACUGUAUGUCGAUUAGACAGUUGAUAAGAGAGAAUCCUACUACACAUUCUCAAACAACAAUUUCAUAAAAAAACAGAAGAGAUACCACAAAUAUUUCACGUGACUGACAUUAUCAUUUGUAUAAGAUGUGUGGAACAACUACAAAAAAAACAAAAAAAAUUCUUACCAGCAAUUGAUUAAUAUUUUCUUUUAUUAAAUAUUUUAACUAUCUUUAUCACAAUAUAAACAAAAACACAUACAACAUAAAAAGAUUUACAUAAUACCUUUUGCUUACAAAUUCAAUAUAUUGUCACAUCCAGCUAUGUCAAUCAUCGUGCUUUAGUGCAAUUAGCAAUAAAUGCUACUGUUAAUCCAAGGUGCUAGUGAUAUAAAAAAAUAAUGACAUACAGUACACAACACGACUAGAAAAUCAACCAACCACCCAAAGAUGGUUUCUUUAAGUUGGUAUGUAAUUACUCCAACUAAACACACCAUAACAUCGGUAGUAAACUAUCACCCUCAAUAGUUGGUUCAUUUUCAUUUUCAUCAUCCAUUAAAGGCUUUUGUAGGAGACAUCGCUGACACUAUAAUUUACGAUAUCUCCUGCGAUAUUCUCCUAGGAGAUAUUGCUUCUUUUGCUAGGUCACUGUGUAUGCUUUAGCACUAAACAUAUCAUUAGAGACAUCACGCCACUGUCGUUCUGCUAGUUAACAAGUCUACCACUGCCAUAUAUAGUGACAUUCAAACCACAUUACUGACAUUCAUUACAAUUGUCCCAAAUGAAAAGACCGAUAAUGGAUGAUAAAAAGAAUACGCCCCUCGUGUCUUGUGAUAUCAUAAUGCAUCAACACUCAAUGAUAAAAGCAUAAAAAUUUUCGGCAAGCCUUGAAUUUCAUACUUUUAUCAACUCGUGCUGAUAAAUUAUGAUAUCACAAGACACGAGGGGAGGAUCCUCUAUUUACUUAUUUUUGUGUCUAUAUCCAAGCAUGUUGUCGUGGACACACACCUCAGCGACAUGUAUCUGGGCAGUUUGUCCAGGACAGUGGCUUAAUGGUUUAUUGUUAGUGCUUACUGAGAGAGAAGUCAGUGCAGUUUAUCAUACACCUCCUUGUCGAGUCAAUAAAACCUACUGGGUGAGAGCUGGUACUAGGACACGAACCCAAUAUCUAUCAGCCUCAAGUCCAUUAGGAUAACCACUAUGCCACCAGGAUAUGUUAUUUCAUCAAAGUACUUUAAUUUAUACUCUACUGUCACAUGAAACAUACUAGAAAACCCCCAAGAAAUUUGUUUUGUUUAACAACACCGCUAGAGCACAUUGAUUUAAUCAUCGGCUAUUAGAUGUCAAACAUUUGGUGAUUUGACAUACAGUCUUUGAGAAGAAACCUGCUACAUUUUUUGUGUUAGCUGAAAGGUAUCUUUUAUUUUUAUAUACACCAUCCCAUAGACAGAAUAGCACAUCCGGCCUUUGAUGUACCAGUCGUGGCGCACUGGCUGGAGCGAGAAAUAGAAACUGACUGGAAACCAUCUAGUUGCCCACCUAGGUCUAGCUGACUUUAUUGUUGGUUAGUAUACUGUUUAAAGAUCCACACAUUAGUCUUAUCACUGAAUUAGUCAUGUCACUCUAAGAUCAACCAUACAAGCAAUGGGGGUCUACAAAACCUUUUUAAAAGCUGUACCAAUAAAAAAAAAGACAGUCUAGAAUAACUGCUGUAAUCCUAUUCAGGUAACUGUUGUAAUCAAAUUCAGGUAGCUGUUGUAAUCCUAUUCAGGUAGCUGUUGUAAUCCUAUUCAGGUAACUGUUGUAAUCCUAUUCAGGUAACUGUUGUAAUCCUAUUCAGGUAACUAUUGUAAUCCUGUUCAGGUAACUAUUGUAAUCCUGUUCAGGUAACUAUUGUAAUCAAAUUAAGGUAACUGUUGUAAUCCUAUUCAGGUAACUAUUGUAAUCCUGUUCAGGUAACUAUUGUAAUCAAAUUAAGGUAACUGUUGUAAUCCUAUUCAAGUUUAUAGAAUCUAUUUCAGUCAUACCAUGCAGGGCUCGAAUUGAAUGUCGUUGAGAUAUAAAUUGCCGUUGGUUGGGAGAAUCACCAAUGGCACAAAAGUGCCGUCGUUAAAGAUCCUCAAUGACAAAAUGUUUACGCUUGAAGCACAUUACCUGCCGUUAUAUAACAUUAGUGCAUAUAAAUACGUCUACAUAGCAAAAUACCCUUUCAAUCUUAUUUAUUUGCUGCAAAAGUUAUUUAAGAAAACCCACUGCCAUGGGCAGGCUUUGAAUAGCCGUUGGAGGGCCAUUUCACCCACAGCAAUUUUGGUUUUUAAAUAGCCGUCGGAAACAAUUGCUUAAAUUCGAGCCCUGCCACGGCUACAUUGUACACCCAAAUCUGUUCCCUGUUUUGGUACUUUUACAUAAGGCUGGAUAUUUUCCUGGCCAGGGAUUUUUGAAACAAUCUUAGCACUAUGAAACUAUCAUAGGCUAUAACAUCACUGCAGUCCAUACCACAGUGACGUCAUAGCUUACGGCGGUCUUACAAUUUCGUAGCGCUAAGACGGUGGCUUUGAAUAUAUGGACCCUGGUUCAUAUGCCACCAAUUCAUAAUUGACAGAGACAACUGUCGUGAAACAAACAAAAAUAAAAAUUCAUCAACAUGCCACUCUCCGAUGUUCUGAAAAUUUAAACUCUAAAAUGUAUUUCACAGAAAUUGUUAUUUAAAUAACCUCCAACCGCUCUUCUAGAAGGCAUAGUUAAUAUCACAAAAGUCAAGUGUAUUCAAUGAAUAAUGAUUCGUUCAUAUUUUAGCUGAAAACAAACUUUACACAGGUUUGCAAAAAUCAGUGGGCUGGCCACAGGUGAACAAGUCAUACUGCUUUUUCGAGCCCUGAUUUUGUUUUGCAAUCAUUAAUUUCAAGCAUACAAGCAUUUGCACAACUCUCUAUAAAAUAUACAUCAAUAAUAAUCGUACAGAAAAACAUAAUGAAAAGUGAAUACAAUCAGUUUUUUUUUUUUUUUUUUACAAGCGAGUGAAAAGCAAAAUAUUUAUGUAACACAAAUUCUGCUUUAGCCUGAAAUGAUAUGUCAAAAAAAAAAAAAAUAUAAUAAAAAAUUAUAAUAAUUUCUUCUAAACUACAUGUACAUGUAGCUGGGUGAAUUUGCAGGUAUGUUAUUUUAUACUAUUUAAAAGCACAAAUACAUUCAAAAUAUUAUAUUAACAAAAACAAACAAGAAAAGUAGAAAAUAUAGCUUAUAGCUGGGG